UGCAAAUCAGCCGCUGUUCUAUUUAAAUGAGCGUGUGGCUCCGCCCCUUCUCGGGUGGCCGCGGAAGGUUACUGGUGGUGAAGUGCAAGCACUGGCCGGGAUUUAAGGUGGAACGCGGCAGCAUGCGGUGAUCAGGCAUUCUGUGGAGGUGGCAUCAUUCAAGGCUGCAGCAACAGCAGCUGGUAACUAAUAUAUCAUUGGAUUUACAGUCACAAUGGAAAGAAAAAUAAGUUUCAAGACAACCUUCCCUUAUAAGACAUGCUUAUUGACACUUCAGCUGUGGAGUGCAUCUGCACAGCACUGCUCUCCAGCUCCAUCCACGGUGCCUAUGGCCCACUGGGGUGCAAUGAGUUGGAGGUGACUCCAGGAGUGAAAGAUGGAUUUGUAAUACGCUACAAUCUCUAUUACUAUACAGUGCACUGCAAUCUUCAACUAAUCAUAGGUUAGAAUGAGUCCAAAUCCAAGAUAUCCCAACUUCAUAUACAUCAAAGAAUUGCUGCAGGACACUAUUGAAGAUUUUAUUGUUGCAAGUUUGGGAUGACCAAAUUAUUCAGGAGUGGCAGUCAAAAUGAGUUAUGUGGGUUCCUUAACAAAUAGCAAUUUCAUAGUACUUCAUUCUGUGACACCUUGUUUAUAUAACAUAUAAAUUGUCUUACUCUGUUUUUGGUAAUGAGUUAUAUAUUGUCCCUGUUCUGAACAGAUUAGUUACUAUGUUGGUCCAAUAAAAGA